CUCUGGAUUAAACCCUCCGCAGAAUCCGUCUCCUUUUCAUUUUCACCUCACCUAAAGUUUCUCCAUCAGAGGAGGCUAUUACUUGAGAAGCGCUUAUGGAGCACUGUCGCUGCUCAAGAAAUCCCAGGAAGAACAAGCUGCCCAGCUGUCAGUGCCCCAGGAAAGCUGCUAGCUGAGACCUUGUGACUGACGAGUCUGUCAGCAUCCUGCAGCAAAUCCAUUCCUUUAAAGGAAGCCCAGUGCAAAGAGCAUCCAGCUGCAGGAUGGGGAGAACCACUGAACUUGUCCUGGCCUUGCCAAGAGCUUUGGUGUUUGAGCUGCCAAAUCCAAACUGGUCCUGAUGAUGGAGGACUUAAGAAAUUACUCAAUCCAACUAAAUGCUUUAAAAAGGGAGAUGGUUUGGUUAUAAAAAUAUUUCUGCCUGAUACUGGGAAGAGACUGGGAAGAGUUAAAGCCCCCAAUUCUGCACAACAGCACAAGGAUUUUUUAAUUCUUUGCCUUUUUUUCCCCUUCCUUUGAAUGGGUUUGUUUGUUUCCCCUUGGAGACUGCACACACAACAGGCAGAUUUUUCAAGUAAGCCAUUUUUUCCCACUUUUAGUCUUCAAUGGAGCCCAGGUGCCAAUUGUUUGCUGUCAGGACCCAGGACACACCUCUGGCUGUCCAGGACACCAGGACCCCUGUUAGGGGUCUCAGAGACCCUGUCACAGAGCCCAAGACACCUGUGGUUUUGAUUAUGAC